rnacentral:sRNA from 1 species
AGCGUGAGCCGCGGCCCCAGCCGGGCAGAGCGCGCUGCCUGAGCGGAGCCGCAGUAGACUGUGGUUUUGUGCUUGCUCACCAAAGCUAACCUCAGCAUGCUCAAAAGGAAGCAGAGUUCCAGGGUGGAAGCCCAGCCAGUCACUGACUUUGGUCCUGAUGAGUCUCUGUCGGAUAACGCUGACAUCCUCUGGAUUAACAAACCAUGGGUUCACUCUUUGCUGCGCAUCUGUGCCAUCAUCAGCGUCAUUUCUGUUUGUAUGAAUACGCCAAUGACCUUCGAGCACUAUCCUCCACUUCAGUAUGUGACCUUCACUUUGGAUACAUUAUUGAUGUUUCUCUACACGGCAGAGAUGAUAGCAAAAAUGCACAUCCGGGGCAUUGUCAAGGGGGAUAGUUCCUAUGUGAAAGAUCGCUGGUGUGUUUUUGAUGGAUUUAUGGUCUUUUGCCUUUGGGUUUCUUUGGUGCUACAGGUGUUUGAAAUUGCUGAUAUCGUUGAUCAGAUGUCACCUUGGGGCAUGUUGCGGAUUCCACGGCCACUGAUUAUGAUCCGAGCAUUCCGGAUUUAUUUCCGAUUUGAACUGCCAAGGACCAGAAUUACAAAUAUUUUAAAGCGAUCGGGAGAACAAAUAUGGAGUGUUUCCAUUUUUCUACUUUUCUUUCUACUUCUUUAUGGAAUUUUGGGAGUUCAGAUGUUUGGAACAUUUACUUAUCAUUGUGUUGUAAAUGACACAAAACCAGGGAAUGUAACCUGGAAUAGUUUAGCUAUUCCAGACACACACUGCUCACCAGAGCUAGAAGAAGGCUACCAGUGCCCACCUGGAUUUAAAUGCAUGGACCUUGAAGAUCUGGGACUUAGCAGGCAAGAGCUGGGCUACAGUGGCUUUAAUGAGAUAGGAACCAGUAUAUUCACCGUCUAUGAGGCUGCCUCGCAGGAAGGCUGGGUGUUCCUCAUGUACAGAGCAAUUGACAGCUUUCCCCGUUGGCGUUCCUACUUCUAUUUCAUCACCCUCAUUUUCUUCCUCGCCUGGCUUGUGAAGAACGUGUUUAUUGCUGUUAUCAUUGAAACAUUUGCGGAAAUCAGAGUACAGUUUCAACAAAUGUGGGGAUCAAGAAGCAGCACAACCUCAACAGCCACCACCCAGAUGUUUCAUGAAGAUGCUGCUGGAGGUUGGCAGCUGGUAGCUGUGGAUGUCAACAAGCCCCAGGGACGCGCCCCAGCCUGCCUCCAGAAAAUGAUGCGGUCAUCCGUUUUCCACAUGUUCAUCCUGAGCAUGGUGACCGUGGACGUGAUCGUGGCGGCUAGCAACUACUACAAAGGAGAAAACUUCAGGAGGCAGUACGACGAGUUCUACCUGGCGGAGGUGGCUUUUACAGUACUUUUUGAUUUGGAAGCACUUCUGAAGAUAUGGUGUUUGGGAUUUACUGGAUAUAUUAGCUCAUCUCUCCACAAAUUCGAACUACUACUCGUAAUUGGAACUACUCUUCAUGUAUAUCCAGAUCUUUAUCAUUCACAAUUCACGUACUUUCAGGUUCUCCGAGUAGUUCGGCUGAUUAAGAUUUCACCUGCAUUAGAAGACUUUGUGUACAAGAUAUUCGGUCCUGGAAAAAAGCUUGGGAGUUUGGUUGUAUUUACUGCAAGCCUCUUGAUUGUUAUGUCAGCAAUUAGUUUGCAGAUGUUCUGCUUUGUUGAAGAACUGGACAGAUUUACUACGUUUCCGAGGGCAUUUAUGUCCAUGUUCCAGAUCCUCACCCAGGAAGGAUGGGUGGACGUAAUGGACCAAACUCUAAAUGCCGUGGGACAUAUGUGGGCACCUGUGGUUGCCAUCUAUUUCAUUCUCUAUCAUCUUUUUGCCACUCUGCCUCCCUCUCUUAUCCGUGACCUCUGUGGCACUCAAGACGCCUGCCCGUCCUGCCUUCCUCUCCAGCCUCCAAGCCCCCUGCCUGGAAGCCAGACUCUGGCCAGACUUACCCACCAGGCCCUGACCACGCCACCUGGAAUGGCUUUCUCACAGCUCUUUUCCAAAAUCAGUCUUCUCCUUGGCAUCUGCAUGGCUUGGGAGAGCAUCCUUGGGUCUCUGUCAUUGUCUCACAAUCUUUAAUAAGUAGUGUUCAGAAAGUGCCCCCCUGGCCCACGUGCCCAGAUGGGCUCUCCAAGUGUAAAUGCUUCAAAAUGGUACAGAACUAAAUGUGUGAAUUUCUGAUGGGGCUUCAUUUCUGGUCCUCCUUCUUCACACUUGCGUGGCCGCCCUUCCCAUCCACACUCCAAUUUUCUCUCACGUUCCUGCUUUCUGAGAAGAAAUAAGACUGAUUCUGGGAUGGAGCAUGAGAGAGACAGAAAGCCCUAGAGAGAGAGAGAGACAGAUGCAGAGAGAGAGAGACAAAGCGUGUUUCCGUGGGAGAUGCCCACACACCUCACUUGGGGGCAUCGGCAGUGUUGAUACCCACACAGGUGUGUUUUGACAUCCAAGACUCACCCUAAUUCUUCUUGGAACCUGAUGGGGAGAGAUCCUUGCUGGGGGCCUCACAAGGGCCAGGGGCAGCCAGGGCAGAGUUGGGCAGUUGCCUGAGAGUUCUAGGUGGAGAGGCCCAGAAUAUCCCGCAAGAACAAGUCUCCGUUAGUUCCAAGUGGAAUGGCAGCCCUUUCUGAGUUUCCCUGAGUUGGGAGCUAAUACAUAUGUUGCGGGAACAACAGCCCAAGCCAAAGACCAUGCGGAGGCCAGGCAUGGUGACUCACGCCUGUAAUCCUAGCACUUUGGGAGGCCAAGAUCCACGGAUCUCAUGAGCUCAGGAGUUCGAGACCAGCCUGGUCAACCUUGUCUCUACAAAAAAUACAAAAAAAAAA